GAUGAACGCUGGCGGCGUGCCUAAUACAUGCAAGUCGAGCGAACAGACGAGGAGCUUGCUCCUCUGACGUUAGCGGCGGACGGGUGAGUAACACGUGGAUAACCUACCUAUAAGACUGGGAUAACUUCGGGAAACCGGAGCUAAUACCGGAUAAUAUAUUGAACCGCAUGGUUCAAUAGUGAAAGACGGUUUUGCUGUCACUUAUAGAUGGAUCCGCGCCGCAUUAGCUAGUUGGUAAGGUAACGGCUUACCAAGGCAACGAUGCGUAGCCGACCUGAGAGGGUGAUCGGCCACACUGGAACGGAGACACGGGCCAGACUCCUACGGGAGGCAGCAGUAGGGAAUCUUCCGCAAUGGGCGAAAGCCUGACGGAGCAACGCCGCGUGAGUGAUGAAGGUCUUCGGAUCGUAAAACUCUGUUAUUAGGGAAGAACAAAUGUGUAAGUAACUAUGCACGUCUUGACGGUACCUAAUCAGAAAGCCACGGCUAACUACGUG
rnacentral:rRNA from 1 species